AUUGAAUGUUUUUAGAAAUUUAUUUAAGCGUGAGAUUAAUGAAGAAUUUAACACAACAAAAGACUCAUGAUUUUUCUCAAUUAAUUUGCUAAUCUUUUAAUUUAAUUAAUGUAGAAUGACACAUGUCAUUUUCUUAUAUGAUGAUGUGUCACUCCUAUGGAGAGAGUUGACCAACUUUCAUAUAUAUGAUUUCAGCUGUUGAUAGGUUUAGCAUCAACAUUGUCAUACUUUGAACACAAAACAACAUUUCCAUUGAAAAAGGUUGAAGAAGACAUUAUCAAUCAU
rnacentral:sRNA from 1 species